GGAGGAACCUCUGGAGAGAACCGUUUGAUCGGUCGCCGAAGGAGCAAAUCUCACCCCGUGAGACGAAACUCUCAGGCAAAAGGACAGAGGAGAGAAA
rnacentral:ncRNA from 2 species